rnacentral:rRNA from 1 species
UACGUAGGGGGCAAGCGUUGUCCGGAUUUAUUGGGCGUAAAGAGCGUGUAGGCGGCCAUACAGGUCAGCUGUGAAAACUCGAGGCUCAACCUCGAGACGUCGGUUGAAACCGUAUGGCUAGAGUCCGGAAGAGGAGAGUGGAAUUCCCGGUGUAGCGGUGAAAUGCGCAGAUAUCGGGAAGAACACCCGUGGCGAAGGCGGCCACCUGGGCCUAACCUGACGCUGAGGCGCGAAGGCUAGGGGAGCGAACGGG